rnacentral:rRNA from 1 species
GACGAACGCUGGCGGCGUGCUUAACACAUGCAAGUCGAACGGAAAGGCCCUGCUUUUGUGGGGUGCUCGAGUGGCGAACGGGUGAGUAACACGUGAGUAACCUGCCCUUGACUUUGGGAUAACUUCAGGAAACUGGGGCUAAUACCGGAUAGGAGCUCCUGCUGCAUGGUGGGGGUUGGAAAGUUUCGGCGGUUGGGGAUGGACUCGCGGCUUAUCAGCUUGUUGGUGGGGUAGUGGCUUACCAAGGCUUUGACGGGUAGCCGGCCUGAGAGGGUGACCGGCCACAUUGGGACUGAGAUACGGCCCAGACUCCUACGGGAGGCAGCAGUGGGGAAUAUUGCACAAUGGGCGGAAGCCUGAUGCAGCAAUGCCGCGUGCGGGAUGACGGCCUUCGGGUUGUAAACCGCUUUCGCCUGUGACGAAGCGUGAGUGACGGUAAUGGGUAAAGAAGCACCGGCUAACUACGU